UACGUAGGGGGCAAGCGUUGUCCGGAAUCACUGGGCGUAAAGCGCGCGCAGGCGGUCAUCUACGUCUGGGGUGAAAGCCCGGAGCUCAACUCCGGGAUUGCCUUGGAUACGGGAUGACUUGAGGAUCGGAGAGGCAAGGGGAAUUCCACGUGUAGCGGUGAAAUGCGUAGAGAUGUGGAGGAACACCUGUGGCGAAGGCGCCUUGCUGGCCGAUUUCUGACGCUGAGGCGCGAAAGCGUGGGGAGCAAACAGG
rnacentral:rRNA from 2 species